rnacentral:rRNA from 1 species
GUUUUUGCUAGAGUACGAACGAGGUAGGCGGAAUGUGCAGUGUAGCGGUGAAAUGCUUAGAUAUUGCACAGAACACCGAUUGCGAAGGCAGCUUACCAGGCCGUAACUGACGCUGAUGCACGAAAGCGUGGGGAUCAAACAGGAUUAGAUACCCUGGUAGUCCACGCCGUAAACGAUGAUCACUUGCUGUUGGCGAUACAUUGUCAGUGGCAAAGGGAAACCGAUAAGUGAUCCACCUGGGGAGUACGUUCGCAAGAAUGAAACUCAAAGGAAUUGACGGGGGCCCGCACAAGCGGAGGAACAUGUGGUUUAAUUCGAUGAUACGCGAGGAACCUUACCUGGGUUUGAACGUAUGUUGCAUGAGUUGGAAGCAGCUCUUUCCUUCGGGACUACAUACGAGGUGCUGCAUGGUUGUCGUCAGCUCGUGCCGUGAGGUGUCGGCUUAAGUGCCAUAACGAGCGCAACCCUCAUUGCCAGUUACCAGCACAUCAUGGUGGGGACUCUGGCGAAACUGCCGGCGUAAGCUGUGAGGAAGGUGGGGAUGACGUCAAAUCAGCACGGCCCUUAUAUCCAGGGCUACACACGUGUUACAAUGGUCGGUACAGCGGGCAGCCACUUGGCGACAAGGAGCUAAUCCCGAAAGCCGAUCUCAGUUCGGAUCGAAGUCUGCAACUCGACUUCGUGAAGGUGGAUUCGCUAGUAAUCGCGCAUCAGCUAUGGCGCGGUGAAUACGUUCCCGGGCCUUGUA